rnacentral:rRNA from 1 species
CCUUCGGGGUGCCCAGGCGCGAAACCUCUGCAAUGCGCGAAAGCGUGACAGGGGAAGUCUGAGUGGCGGAAACUUAGUUUCCGUCUUUUGCCAAGCGUAAACAGCUUGGAGAAUAAGGGUGUGGGCAAGACUGGUGGCAGCCGCCGCGGUAACACCAGCGCCUCGAGUGGUACCCACGAAUAUUGGGCCUAAAGCGUCCGUAGCUGGACCUCUAAGUCCGCUGUGAAAUGUUGGGGCUCAACCCUAACGCGUGCAGUGGAUACUGUUGGUCUUGGGAACGGGGGAGGGUCGGGGUACUUCCAGGGUAGGGGUAAAAUCCGUUGAGCCUGGAAGGACCACCAGCGGCGAAGGCGCCGAUCCAAAACGUGUCCGACGGUGAGGGACGAAAGCUGGGGGAGCGAACGGGAUUAGAUACCCCGGUAGUCCCAGCUGUAAAUGAUGCACACUGUGGUGUUACACAUGAGUAAUCAUGUGUAGUGCUGUAGCGUAGGUGUUAAGUCUGCCGCCUGGGGAGUACGAUCGCAAGAUUUAAACUUAAAGGAAUUGGCGGGGGAGCAC